rnacentral:rRNA from 1 species
AGGAAUAUUGGUCAAUGGACGAGAGUCUGAACCAGCCAAGUAGCGUGCAGGAAGACGGCCCUAUGGGUUGUAAACUGCUUUUAUAAGGGAAUAAAGUUAGUCUCGUGAGACUUUUUGCAUGUACCUUAUGAAUAAGGACCGGCUAAUUCCGUGCCAGCAGCCGCGGUAAUACGGAAGGUCCGGGCGUUAUCCGGAUUUAUUGGGUUUAAAGGGAGCGUAGGCCGGAGAUUAAGCGUGUUGUGAAAUGUAGACGCUCAACGUCUGCACUGCAGCGCGAACUGGUUUCCUUGAGUACGCACAAAGUGGGCGGAAUUCGUGGUGUAGCGGUGAAAUGCUUAGAUAUCACGAAGAACUCCGAUUGCGAAGGCAGCUCACUGGAGCGCAACUGACGCUGAAGCUCGAAAGUGCGGGUAUCGAACAGGAUUAGAUACCCUGGUAGUCCGCACGGUAAACGAUGGAUGCCCGCUGUUGGUCUGAAUAGGUCAGCGGCCAAGCGAAAGCAUUAAGCAUCCCACCUGGGGAGUACGCCGGCAACGGUGAAACUCAAAGGAAUUGACGGGGGCCCGCACAAGCGGAGGAACAUGUGGUUUAAUUCGAUGAUACGCGAGGAACCUUACCCGGGCUUGAAUUGCAGAGGAAGGAUUUGGAGACAAUGACGCCCUUCGGGGCCUCUGUGAAGGUGCUGCAUGGUUGUCGUCAGCUCGUGCCGUGAGGUGUCGGCUUAAGUGCCAUAACGAGCGCAACCCCUCUCCUUAGUUGCCAUCAGGUCAUGCUGGGCACUCUGGGGACACUGCCACCGUAAGGUGUGAGGAAGGUGGGGAUGACGUCAAAUCAGCACGGCCCUUACGUCCGGGGCUACACACGUGUUACAAUGGCAGGUACAGAGAGAGGGUCCUACGCAAAAGGGAUCAAAUCCUUAAAGCCUGUCUCAGUUCGGACUGGGGUCUGCAACCCGACCCCACGAAGCUGGAUUCGCUAGUAAUCGCGCAUCAGCCAUGGCGCGGUGAAUACGUUCCCG